CAGUAGCCGCGGUAAAACGUAGGGUACGAGCGUUAAUCGGAAUUACUGGGCGUAAAGCGUGCGUAGGCGGUUCGUUAAGUCUGUUGUGAAAGCCCCGGGCUCAACCUGGGAAUGGCAAUGGAUACUGGCGAGCUAGAGUGUGUCAGAGGAUGGUGGAAUUCCCGGUGUAGCGGUGAAAUGCGUAGAGAUCGGGAGGAACAUCAGUGGCGAAGGCGGCCAUCUGGGACAACACUGACGCUGAGGCACGAAAGCGUGGGGAGCAAACAGGAUUAGAGACCCCAGUAGUCCCUGUCUCUUAUAC
rnacentral:rRNA from 1 species